rnacentral:siRNA from 1 species
CGAUCAAAUGUUUACAUGUGCCA